GCGCGAAAACUUUACAAUGCGGGAAACCGUGAUAAGGGGACACCGAGUGCUAGCAUCAUAUGCUGGCUGUCCAGGUGUGUAAACUACACCUGUUAGCAAGGGCCGGGCAAGACCGGUGCCAGCCGCCGCGGUAACACCGGCGGCCCGAGUGGUGAUCGUGAUUAUUGGGUCUAAAGGGUCCGUAGCCGGUUUGGUCAGUCUUCCGGGAAAUCUGAUAGCUUAACUAUUAGGCUUUCGGGGGAUACUGCCAGGCUUGGAACCGGGAGAGGUAAGAGGUACUACAGGGGUAGGAGUGAAAUCUUGUAAUCCCUGUGGGACCACCUGUGGCGAAGGCGUCUUACCAGAACGGGUUCGACGGUGAGGGACGAAAGCUGGGGGCACGAACCGGAUUAGAUACCCGGGUAGUCCCAGCCGUAAACGAUGCUCGCUAGGUGUCAGGCAUGGCGCGACCGUGUCUGGUGCCGCAGGGAAGCCGUGAAGCGAGCCACCUGGGAAGUACGGCCGCAAGGCUGAAACUUAAAGGAAUUGGCGGGGGAGCACGAACAAC
rnacentral:rRNA from 1 species